rnacentral:lncRNA from 1 species
GAAAAUAUGGUAAGCUAUGUUAACAAGCCAUAUUAGAUAUCAAGCAUUAAUAUGGAAAUAAACCAGGUAACUCCUGUGUAAUUGAUCUUUGUGGGGACUUGGAGGAGGGGAGGUGAAUCUAAACUAGGUUUAGUGUGUGCUAAACUUAAUUAAUGGUUAACUAAAUUCAUUCAAAGAUAUCUGUAACUUGUGGUCUGAUAGUGCUGGUUUUUGGAUAUGAAUUUGUCAUUAAGACUACCUGGGCUGACUCUCUUUUCGGACUCAGCCCACCUGCACCCAGGUGAAAUAAACAGCUUUAUUGCUCACACAAAGCCUGUUUGGUGGUCUCUUCACAUGGACGCGCAUGAAAUUUGGUGCCGUGACUCGGAUCGGGGGACCUCCCUUGGGAGAUCAAUCCCCUGUCCUCCUGCUCUUUGCUCCGUGAGAAACAUCCACCUAUGGCCUCAGGUCCUCAGACCGACCAGCCCAAGAAACAUCUCACCAAUUUCAAAUCCGACAAAUCCUGCCCUGAUUCUGGGGACCAUGCCUGUGGAGAUGCACAGUUCUACCAUUCAAAAUGACUAUCUGAAAAUACCUCCU